GGCGGCGCCGAGGGGGAGCGGGCGGCGGGCGGAGGGCCCGAGGGAGGAGGAGGGAGCGAGCAGCGACUCGGCCGCCCCUGCCGCCGCCGCGGUCGGACCCGCGGCCUCCCGCCCUCCCCCCUCGCGUCGCCGGCCGGGGAGGGGGCGCGCGUCGCCGCCGCUGGUGAAGCAGCUGCCGCCGCGGCCGCCCGAGAAGAUGGGCGAUUUCUACGACCCCGAGCACCCGACCCCCGACUCUGCGCUUUCGGAAGGACCCCGGAACCUCCGCCCGAAGGGGAGGACUUUCGCUCCCGAGAAGACGCGCUCGGAAGCCCGGAGUCCCCGCGGGGCCGCGUUCUCGAAAGCAGGGCGGUGCGGCCCGGGCUGUUUUUGUUCCUCCAGCCUCGGACGUUCCUGCGUGUUGGCACGGCCGCGUCUGCUCCUGCGAGUGCGGCGCACACCUCGGGCCGCCCGCCGCCUGGACGCACUGCUCUCGGAGACCAUUGUUGUGCAAAGCUAUUCUUCUGCAACUCUGCUCGCCGGUGCUGGGGGAAGGCCAGGCCUGCCCCCCAAGGGGCUUUCCCACGAACUGUUACUUUUAUGGCCAGAAGGGUAACCAAUAGGCCCCUCUUUGGACACUUUUUACCUUAGUUCUCUUAUGGGCUCUCUUUUUUUCCCCCCUUUUCUUUUCUUUUUCCUUUGCAGCCCUUUUCCACAUCUCUUCCCCUUGGUCCAGAACUGUCUGGAUCUUAAUAGCUGUUAGCUUCAAGGCCAACACAGAAGGAUUCCGUUGGGGCGUGGAGGGGCCCCUGCACAAAAGGAGAAAUGAUCACCCUGCCUUCCUAAAGCGAAGCCCAGCUCUUCAUGUGCGAUGCGUUCUGACAACGCGGCUUUCUCCUUUCCUAGGUGGUUGCUUGUAGGUUAACAGUAUCUUCAUUAAAGGGUUUUGAUUUACUGCACAGUCA